rnacentral:rRNA from 1 species
UACGUAGGUGGCAAGCGUUGUCCGGAAUUAUUGGGCGUAAAGCGCGCGCAGGUGGUUUCUUAAGUCUGAUGUGAAAGCCCACGGCUCAACCGUGGAGGGUCAUUGGAAACUGGGGAACUUGAGUGCAGAAGAGGAAAGUGGAAUUCCAUGUGUAGCGGUGAAAUGCGUAGAGAUGUGGAGGAACACCAGUGGCGAAGGCGACUUUCUGGUCUGUAACUGACACUGAGGCGCGAAAGCGUGGGGAGCGAACAGG